rnacentral:rRNA from 1 species
UGGGGAAUAUUGGACAAUGGGCGAAAGCCUGAUCCAGCCAUGCCGCGUGUGUGAAGAAGGUCUUCGGAUUGUAAAGCACUUUAAGUUGGGAGGAAGGGCAGUAAGCGAAUACCUUGCUGUUUUGACGUUACCGACAGAAUAAGCACCGGCUAACUCUGUGCCAGCAGCCGCGGUAAUACAGAGGGUGCAAGCGUUAAUCGGAAUUACUGGGCGUAAAGCGCGCGUAGGUGGUUCGUUAAGUUGAAUGUGAAAGCCCCGGGCUCAACCUGGGAACUGCAUCCAAAACUGGCGGGCUAGAGUAGGGCAGAGGGUGGUGGAAUUUCCUGUGUAGCGGUUAAAUGCGUAGAGAUAGGAAGGAACACCAGUGGCGAAGGCGACCACCUGGGCUCAUACUGACACUGAGGUGCGAAAGCGUGGGGAGCAAACAGG